rnacentral:rRNA from 1 species
UACGUUCCACGGAGGGCAUUCUCUGUGGAAGAAAGCUUCUGCAAGGGAGCGUGCGUGGAGGGGCUCGCGGCGUAUCAGCUAGCUGGUGAGGUAACGGCUCACCAGGGCGACGACGCGUAGCCGAUCUGAGAGGAUGAUCGGCCACAUUGGGACUGAGAUACGGCCCAGACUCCUACGGGAGGCAGCAGUGGGGAAUCUUGCGCAAUGGGCGAAAGCCUGACGCAGCGACGCCGCGUGCGGGAGGAAGCUCUUCGGGGUGUAAACCGCUGUCAGGGGGGAAGAACGGCCCACGUGAGGAAAUGCUCGUGGUUUGACGGUACCUCCAGAGGAAGCACCGGCUAACUCUGUGCCAGCAGCCGCGGUAAUACAGAGGGUGCGAGCGUUGUUCGGAAUUACUGGGCGUAAAGCGCGCGCAGGCGGCUCUUUAAGUCCGCUGGUCAAAGACCGGGGGCUCAACCCCGUGUCAGCCCAGGGAUACUGGAGGGCUGGAGACAGGUAGAGGCAAGCGGAAUUCCGGGUGUAGCGGUGGAAUGCGUAGAGAUCCGGAAGAACACCGGAGGCAAAGGCGGCUUGCUGGACCUGGUCUAACGCUGAGGCGCGAAAGCGUGGGGAGCGAACAGGAUUAGAUACCCUGGUAGUCCACGCCGUAAACGAUGGGCACUAGACGCUGGUGGGAUCGACCCCUUCAGUGUCGAAGCUAACGCGAUAAGUGCCCCGCCUGGGGAGUACGGCCGCAAGGCUGAAACUCAAAGGAAUUGACGGGGGCCCGCACAAGCGGUGGAGCAUGUGGUUUAAUUCGAAGCAACGCGAAGAACCUUACCUGGGCUUGACAUGCACGUGAAAUCC